AUGAUCAUUCCCGUGCGUUGCUUCACCUGUGGAAAGGUGAUUGGCAACAAGUGGGAUACGUAUCUCGAUCUUCUCCAGGCUGAUUAUUCUGAGGGGGAUGCACUGGAUGCUUUGGGUCUAGUUCGCUAUUGCUGCAGGCGAAUGCUCAUGACUCAUGUUGACCUCAUCGAGAAGUUACUUAAUUACAAUACACUUGAGAAAACAGAUCCCAAUUAAGGCGAUAGCAGGUGGCAUGUGGAUUUUCUUCUGUCACAGUUUCUUCUUGUGGGUGGCAUGACAUCUAGUUGUAGGUCUGGUAGAGAUGUUCCGAUUUGUAUUAUAUAUUUGUUUUAGAAGUGGGUGCAUGAGACAGACAUGUGAGUUAAAGUGAAUGUACUGUGUUGAUGAUGGUUCACAAACAUUUUGUUGAAGAUACAAUUUGUUGAUGUUGGUUUAUGAAUCCUUUGAAGAUAUUAUGCCUUGGUGAUGAAUGUACUAUAUAUUAGCCCAUCAAUUUGGAGCCAUCUAUUUGAAAUU